CCAGUUGUGCCUGGAGUCCGGCCAAUCUACCUUGAAAAAACUGAAGCACUCAAAGUAAGCUUGUCGCCUGGACAAGGUUGCAUGGAAUAGGACCUCGGUGCCAUUAUGAAAAUCGAGGUAAUGAUCAAUAGGGACAGACGGGGGCAUUCGUUCUGACACACUGGAGGUGAAAUUUUUGGACUGUCGUAAGGCGAGCUACUGCGGAAGCAUUUGCCAAGAAUGUUUCAUUGACCAAGAACGAAAGUCAGAGGUUCGAAUGCGAUCAGAUACUGCUCAAGUUCUGAACGUAAAGUAUGGUAGCCAGCAAUCUGGCUGUGUUUCAGAAACGAUAUGCCGGGUAGCUUCCGGGAAACCAGAGCUUUUGAACUCGGGGGGAAGUAUGAUUGCAAAGCUGAAACUCAAAGAAAUUGACUAAAGGACAUCAUUUUUUUGUAUCCUGCGGUUUAAUUUGAGUCAAUACAUGUAAACUCAUCCGGUCCAGAGAUGGCAAGGAUUGAGAAAUUAAGAGGUCUAUCUAGAUUCUGUGGGUGGUGGUACGCGACCAUUUUUAUGACUUGUCUGGUUAAUUCCCAUAACAACAAGUUUCUAUCCUACUAAAUAAAUUGACUAGAACAAUGUAUAGGCAAUUUCUUCUUAGAGGGACAAGCGGUUCUGAGCCACACGAAAAGGACAAAAACAGAUCUAUGUUGCCCUUAG